CAAUAGCGUAUAUUAAAGUUGUUGCAGUUAAAAAGCUCGUAGUUGGAUUUCUGGUUGAAGCAACCGGUCGGGCGUUGAUUCGUCUGCACUGGAGUCGGUUUUGGCCAUCCUCUAGGAAAGUGCGUCUGGUAUUAAGUUAUCGGGCGUAUGAUCCUGGUCUUUUACUGUGAAAAAAUUAGAGUGUUUAAAGCAGGCCUUCGCCUUGAAUACAUUAGCAUGGAAUAAUAAGAUAGGACUUUGGUCUAUUUUGUUGGUUUGCAGACCGAAGUAAUGAUUAAUAGGGAUAGUUGGGGGUAUUUAUAUUCCGAUGUCAGAGGUGAAAUUCUUAGAUUUUCGGAAGAUAAACUUAUGCGAAAGCAUUUACCAAGGAUGUUUUCAUUAA
rnacentral:rRNA from 1 species